GAUGAACGCUGGCGGCGUGCUUAACACAUGCAAGUCGAACGAAGCGCCUUAUUUGAUUUUCUUCGGAACUGAAGAUUUGGUGACUGAGUGGCGGACGGGUGAGUAACGCGUGGGUAACCUACCCUGUACAGGGGGAUAACAAUCAGAAAUGACUGCUAAUACCGCAUAAGACCACAGCACCGCAUGGUGCAGGGGUAAAAACUCCGGUGGUACAGGAUGGACCCGCGUCUGAUUAGCUGGUUGGUGAGGUAACGGCUCACCAAGGCGACGAUCAGUAGCCGGCUUGAGAGAGUGAACGGCCACAUUGGGACUGAGACACGGCCCAAACUCCUACGGGAGGCAGCAGUGGGGAAUAUUGCACAAUGGGGGGAACCCUGAUGCAGCGACGCCGCGUGAGUGAAGAAGUAUUUCGGUAUGUAAAGCUCUAUCAGCAGGGAAGAAAAUGACGGUACCUGACUAAGAAGCCCCGGCU
rnacentral:rRNA from 1 species